rnacentral:tRNA from 1 species
UUGGGGUGUAGCCAAGUGGUAAGGCAGCGGACUUUGACUCCGCUAUGCGCAGGUUCGAAUCCUUCCAUCCCAGU